GUAGGUGGCAAGCGUUGUCCGGGAAUUAUUGGGGCGUAAAGCGCGCGCAGGCGGUUCUUUAAGUCUGAUGUGAAAGCCCACGGGCUCAACCGUGGGAGGGCAUUGGAAACUGGAGAACUUGAGUACAGAAGAGGAAAGCGGAAUUCCACGUGUAGCAGUGAAAUGCGUAGAGAUGUGGAGGAACACCAGUGGCGAAGGCGGCUUUCUGGUCUGUAACUGACGCUGAGGCGCGAAAGCGUGGGGAGCAAACAGGAUUAGAUACCCUGGUAGUCCACGCCGUAAACGAUGAGUGCUAAGUGUUAGGGGGUUUCCGCCCCUUAGUGCUGCAGCUAACGCAUUAAGCACUCCGCCUGGGGAGUACGGCCGCAAAGGCUGA
rnacentral:rRNA from 1 species